GAGGUAUUUUUCGUCGCGUAGAUCCGUAGAAACUUACCUAUCGCGAUGAUUACCGUUCUUCCGAGGUUGUGAUGACAAUGUCAUCAUGACAUCAAUGUAUUUUCGCAAAAUUCAACUGGUACAGGAUACGAAAAUAUUUGGGAAUCGGCCAAGCCUCGUGGACUUCGCCAUCUGUGUGACGUCACAAGAGGUGCAGGUACGCGGGAAAGUGACAUGUCAAGACGCGCGUCAGAUCGGUUGCUUGUAAAAUGUAGAAAAAGUACAGUGAAACCUCUCGUUCGUUGUAUUAUGUUACACAGUAUUGCUAUAGUGAACGCGUUCGAGUUCGCCCGUUAUCGCGAUGCGUCGGAACGAUCGCGUAAACACAAUUUUCGGACCCCUCGUAGCGAACGCGUUCGUAAAAAAAAAAGUCGUGCGAAGGACGAGUUCGUCGAACGAUGUUAAUCGCUCUCGGUGUUCGCGCGGAUCGUUUAACGUCGUCUAAUUUGCCGUCGCUGGAAUACUUGUUGGAGUUCGCAACAUCGUAAUUUAUCGACGUCGAAGUUUCGAUCUGCCUGUUGAUCGUGGGUGCCACCGGCGUUCUUGUCGAGUAUGCAAGGUGAAUUCAAUGCAAAGUAUCAGGUUGUCCGGAAAGUUCAUGCCUAUUUUUAAGAAAAAUUUAAAGGCAUAUUUGAAUUUUGAUGUAUUAGGUUGCCCAGAAACUUCGUGCCAAUUUUUAAGAAAACUUCAGAGGGACAUUUGAAUUCAAUGUCGACAUAUUCAGACCUGCACCACCUAUCAAAAAUCGGCAUGGACUUUCCGGACAACCCAAUAUAAUCGCUUUUGUUAAUCGUCA